CGCAUUCAGUUGCCGAUCGGGUGAAGCCGGGCGACUCUGGAAGGACUGCCAUCGACAAGAUGGAGGAAGGUGGGGACGGACGUCAAGUCAUCAUGGCCCUUAUGUCCAGGGCGACACACGUGCUACAAUGGCCGGCACAACGGGAAGCGAGUUCGCGAGGACGAGCGGAUCCCUUAAAGCCGGUCGCAGUUCGGAUUGAAGUCUGCAACUCGACUUCAUGAAGCUGGAAUCGCUAGUAAUCGCAGAUCAGCCAAGCUGCGGUGAAUACGUUCCCGGGCCUU
rnacentral:rRNA from 1 species